rnacentral:rRNA from 1 species
UACGGGGGGGGCAAGCGUUGUUCGGAAUCAUUGGGCGUAAAGAGCGUGUAGGCGGCCCGGUAAGUCCGCUGUAAAAGUCAAAGGCUCAACCUUUGAAUGUCAGUGGAUACUGCCGGGCUAGAGUCCGGAAGAGGCGAGUGGAACUCCUGGUGUAGCGGUGGAAUGCGCAGAUAUCAGGAAGAACACCAACGGCGAAGGCAGCUCGCUGGGACGGUACUGACGCUGAGACGCGAAAGCGUGGGGAGCGAACAGG